GCGAGUUGUACGUAUAACGUAGCAAACUGCUCAGUAACACGUGGCCAAACUGCCCUAUGGACUAGGAUAACCUCGGGAAACUGAGGCUAAUCCUGGAUAGUACAUCCAGUCUGGAACUGGCGGAUGUAUCAAAUGCUCCGGCGCCAUAGGAUGUGGCUGCGGCCGAUUAGGUAGACGGUGGGGUAACGGCCCACCGUGCCGAUAAUCGGUACGGGUCAUGAGAGUGAGAGCCCGGAGACGGACUCUGAGACACGAGUCCGGGCCCUACGGGGCGCAGCAGGCGCGAAACCUUUACACUGCACGCCAGUGCGAUAGGGGGACACCGAGUGCGAGGGCAUAGAGCCCUCGCUUUUCUGUACCGUAAGGUGGUACAGGAACAAGGGCUGGGCAAGACCGGUGCCAGCCGCCGCGGUAACACCGGCAGCCCAAGUGAUGGCCGAUAUUAUUGGGCCUAAAGCGUCCGUAGCUGGCCGAGCAAGUUCGUCGGGAAAUCCACUCGCUUAACGAGUGGGCGUCCGGCGAAAACUGUUCGGCUUGGGACCGGAAGACCUGAAGGGUACGUCUGGGGUAGGAGUGAAAUCCCGUAAUCUUGGACGGACCACCGAUGGCGAAAGCACUUCAGGAGGACGGAUCCGACAGUGAGGGACGAAAGCUAGGGUCUCGAACCGGAUUAGAUACCCGGGUAGUCCUAGCCGUAAACGAUGCUCGCUAGGUGUGGCACAGGCUACGAGCCUGUGCUGUGCCGUAGGGAAGCCGUGAAGCGAGCCGCCUGGGAAGUACGUCUGCAAGGAUGAAACUUAAAGGAAUUGGCGGGGGAGCACUACAACCGGAGGAGCCUGCGGUUUAAUUGGACUCAACGCCGGACAUCUCACCAGCUCCGACAGCAGUGAUGACGAUCAGGUUGAUGAUCUUAUUCGAGCUGCUGAGAGGAGGUGCAUGGCCGCCGUCAGCUCGUACCGUGAGGCGUCCUGUUAAGUCAG
rnacentral:rRNA from 1 species